rnacentral:misc_RNA from 1 species
AGGAAGAGGGAGCGAGAGAACCCAUGUGGGGUUUGCGGCCACUAUCACAAGUAUGAGGAAGGGGAGAUUUGUGGGAUUUGCGGCCAUCGGUUGCCGGAAUCUGCUGAGAAAAUUCCGCUCCAUGUUAGUGCUUUCCCUUCUGAGAUCCUGCCGGAGUUCCUUUAUUUGGGAAGUUACGAUAACGCCUCUCGCUCUGAGCUGCUCAAAACCCAGAGGAUUUCUCGAGUUCUCAAUACAGUACCGGCUUGUCAAAAUCUCUACAAGAAUUCUUUCACUUAUCAUUGCCUCCAAGAUGACAAAACUUUACAAUUUGAUGAUGCAAAUCAAUUUUUAGAGCAAUGUGA